rnacentral:tRNA from 1 species
UGGGUUUGAGUCCUGUUUCUAU